AGGAAAAAAAGAAAGUGACUUGGGUCCAUUUUCUGCAUGGAAUAUAAUUGGAACAUAUAGAGUCGAUCAGAGGACAAAACUAAUUUAAUUGAGGAAGUAUCUUGGUUUGAUUAUGGACAUAGAGGGAUGCAGUUUAUUUUUACAGGUUUGGUAUCCUUCUUUGGGUGCUGACCCUUUUAAGCAGGAGGAUUUCUUACAGGGACAAACGCGAAGAAGCUUUGAGGCUGGCUCCGUUAUCAGCAAAGAAGCCUCAUUUUUCUCACUGUUUGGAGUGGCUUCUCUUUAGGGUGUUUGAUGCAGAAAUAUCCAGGUACAUUCAAUGAGAAUAAAAUUACCUCAAAAGUACAAUGGUUCUGUUUUUGGCCAUUAUCUAAAUGGAGUAAUGUUUAUAGUAGUUUUGUUAAGCAAAACAUUACUGGGUCUUUUUGCUAACUUGG